AGCUGAGAGAAAUGGGCCUGGUUUUCAGACUGCCCACAGGGACCAGGAUCGCUAUGUAUUCAUUUAUGUGAGCCAUGAGCCCUAGCCCCUCAUCGUGACAGGGGUGCUCUCACAGCCAAGGCUUCCCUGAGUGUCAUGGUCCCGGCCUCGCUGUGAGCCUGUGAUGUGUGGUAACUCAUUGACCUGACCGCAGGUCUCUCUCAUCUCUUACCUUUCAGGAAACAGCAAAUCCAAAGUUUCUUCUCAGUUUGAUCCAAAUAAACAGACCCCGUCUGGCAAGAAAUGCAUUGCAGCCAAAAAAAUUAAACAGUCGGUGGGAAACAAAAGCAUGUCCUUUCCAACUGGAAAGUCAGACAGAGGCUUCAGGUACAACUGGCCACAGAGAUAGUCCUGGAAGACACGUGGCGCCUGUGGACCGGAA
rnacentral:lncRNA from 1 species